GUAAAUGAAUCUUGAUGAAUAGAGGUAGAAGCAAUCAGUCCAAAUUAUUUGCUUUCUCUAUUUACAUAGGAAGUGAAGACUGCCACCAAAACAGAAAGUGGAACCUAGGACAAUGGCAUCCAAGGACACAAGAUCUAAGAGGACAAGAGAGAGCACAAGUCAUGCUACUCUUUGCAAAGAAGGGAAAGCAUCUUCAGGAGUUUCCUCCAUCACAAGAGAAGCUAACAAGGAGUCAAAAACCAACCACAAGAUAGAAUGAUGGGACACUUCUACUGAAUACAACUUGAAAAGUAGGCAGAGAAAGUUGAUUUUUACAAGAUAAGGAGGAACCAGAAGCAAAAUUGCAAACAGAGACAUGUUGUUGACCAACCCUCCACCUACUGUGCCAAACUACAAGUCUGGGCACAGGCCAACUUCAGGAUCCCAGGACCCUACCUAUACCAACAACAGAGCAACCCACAUCCCAGACACACGCCUUGAAGUCCCAGGUCCUGGCACCAGUCCUCAGUGAGGCCCAGAAGUCCAUAGUGCUUGGCCCUUUCAAACCUGUACUGUGGUGAAGCCCUUAGCCCCAGGACAAAAUAGUUUGUAGUUCUGAGUCCUGCAAGUCAUCGGCAGAGCAGACAGAAUCAGCAGUUUCCAGAACUCCAGUCCUUUUUUGCCAGUCCACAGGCAAAAAAAAAUGAGCAAGCAGCCAAAGAAAUACCUAACCCUAGAAAGUUUCUAUGGAGACAAAGAGCAAAACAUAGAGUUAAUGGGGAAUGGUGAGAUCCAAGCAACCACAUGCAAAACUUCAAAGAAAAAGGGGAAUUUAUCUUAGGCACUAAAGAAAUAAAAAAAGAAAUUCAAAAAUCA
rnacentral:lncRNA from 1 species